GUGAGGAAUAUUGCGCAAUGGAGGCAACUCUGACGCAGCCAUGCCGCGUGCAGGAAGAAGGCGCUACGCGUUGUAAACUGCUUUUAACCGGGAAGAAACCCCAGGACGUGUCCUGGGUUGACGGUACCGGAGGAAUAAGCACCGGCUAACUUCGUGCCAGCAGCCGCGAUAAUACGAAGGGUGCAAGCGUUAUCCGGAUUCAUUGGGUUUAAAGGGUGCGUAGGCGGAGCGUUAAGUCAGUGGUGAAAUCCUGCAGCUUAACUGUAGACUUGCCAUUGAUACUGGCGCUGUUGAGUGUGCUUGAAGUGGGCGGAAUGUGCCGUGUAGCGGUGAAAUGCUUAGAUAUGGCACAGAACACCAAUUGCGAAGGCAGCUCACUAAGGCGAUACUGACGCUGAGGCACGAAAGCGUGGGGAUCGAACAGGAUUAGAAACCCGGGUAGUCC
rnacentral:rRNA from 1 species